UGCGCAGUCGAGGCCCCCGAGCAGCCCUGCAGCAACGCGCCGGCGAACGCAGCCUCCUCCUUCCUACCGCAGCGAGCGUUUUCGUUUGGACUGUCACAGCACGUUCCAUCGCGCGCUGGCGACACACAAAUAAGAUUGGAGCGACGUGUUGAACGAGGAGGCACCCCAGGAAGACGUUAAGGGAUCUCUUCCUCUUCUGCGUGGCCUGCUUCCCCUCGACGUCUUCCUUGCCUCGCUGCGUCCCCCGGGGAUGUGCGGGGAAGGACAGCGGGCGCCCGGGGGACAGAGCAGCGCUGCCCGCGGGGGCCGUAAGAGGUUUCUCUAGGCAUCUCACUGCCCAUCUGGACAUGUACUUCCUGGCUUCGGAGCUGAAUUUUUAAUUUGAACAGCUUUUUGUCUGGUCUGGACAAUACAAAAACAUCUGCUAAAAUCCCUGCACCUGGAGAAAGUUCUAGGCAGACACUCCAGCUUCAGCAGCGCGACUCUGCCCCUCAGCUUUGCCCAUCAUUAAAAAAAAAAGAGAGGAAAAAAAUCAGCUAUAAACUUGCAGCUGGAUCCUCUUAUAAAAGGAAUACUGAAAAAGUGAACGCUUCUCUGCAAAGAGCAGAUGCAGCAGUUUCCCCAGACGAGAAGACUCUAGCUCACGGAAGGUGUCCGCCUGUCUUGCGUCCUUCAACACUGAAGGGCUCUCUAGCAGAUCAGGGAGGCAUAACAUGAACGGAGACAGACAGAACUGGACAAACUCAAACUAGAAAUUAAGAUGCACGUUUUUAACACUGAUACAAACUGCUGGAACAUCCUCAGCCCACCUCCCCUGGGUGAGGGACCUUACUCCCGGCAGCCCCUCUCAAGCGCUAACUGUCCCUUGAUGCGGUUCAUGCUGUAGCCACUCAAGUGCUUCUGCCACCUCAAUGGAGAAUGGAAUCUCAGCCCUUGCAGCUGAUGUCUGAAGUGCUCAGAAGACCGCACCUGUUAUUCCAACAGAGGUGACCUCUGAGAGAAGAAAGACGUUCUGUAUAAAUACUGAGCUAAGUGACUUUCCCCAUGUCUCCUCAAAUAACACCCAAAUAUCUUUUCUUGUCAAAAUCUUGCACUUGUCCCAUAGUAUACACAGUAAAUCAUGACAACUAGUGACUUAUUUGAAGGCUGGAGCCCAAAGCAAGAGGUGCUGGUGCUGAAAGAAGUUUAACCAGUCACCAGCCUCUAAAAUAUUAAGCCAUAAAAUACAAAUCUAUUUUUUUACAAAAGAAGUUUAAA